CCUGGAACCAAACCCACAGUACUUCUGAGGCCAAGAAACUGGCUGAAAUCAACAAGAAAUGAUGGUAUGUAGAAGAAAGAAGGAAUCUAAGGACUAGUUCUUGACUGACAAACUCCAAUGUUAAGAAGAAUCAGAAGGCCAGGCUUGGUGGCUCAUGCCUGAAAUCCCAGCACUUUGGGAGGCCAAGUUGAGUGGAUUACCUGAGGUCAGGAGUUUGAGACCAACCCGGCCAACAUGGCAAAACCCUGUCUCUACUAAAAAUAUAAAAAUUAGCUAGGCAUGAUGGUGGGGGCCUGUAAUUCCAGCUACUUAAGAGCUGAGUUAGGAGAAUUGCUUGAAUCUGGGAGGCAGAGGUUGCAGUGAGCCGAGAUCAUGCCACUGCACUCCAGCCUGGGGAACACAGUGAGACUCUGUCUCAGAAAAAAAACAAAAAAACAAAAAAAAAAAAAAAACAAGAAACAAACAGAAGAUGAGAAGGAGAAGCCGGUGAGUAGGAAGAAACCCAGGAGAGAGUGGUGUGCUGGAGCCAAGUGAAGGAAGUGUUUGCAGGAGGAGGAACGGGUUUAUGGUGUCAAAUGCUCCCUAUAGUUAAAGAAAGAACUGGCUAUUGGAUUGGUAUUGGCAUAAAGAUGGUCGAAUAGAUCAAUAGAUGAGAACAGAACCCACAUAUAUAUGAUCAAUUGAUUGUCAUUUACAAUCAAUGACAAAGGUGCCAAGGCAAUUCAGUAGAGAAAAGAGUCUUUUCAACAAGUGGUACUAGAACAAUUGGAUAUCCAUGUACAAAAAAUUUUUGAUCCAUAUCUCACACUAUAUACAGAAAUUAACUCCGAAUAGACUGAAGACCUAAACACAAAACUUAUGUUCGGAGUAUAUAAAGAGCUCUAGAAACUUUAAUAAGAAGACCAACGACCUAAUUAAAAAUAAACAGAAGACUUGAACAGACACUUUAACUAAGACAAUACAGGGCUGGCAAAUAAGUACUCGAAAAGUUGCUUAACAUCAUUAGUCAUUAGGAAAAUAAAGCCUCCAUGAGAUACCUCU
rnacentral:lncRNA from 1 species